ensembl:lncRNA
CUAACACAUGACUGUAAAGCACACUAUAAAGCACAGAAGAAUCCCAGCAACUCCUUGUUCUGAUUAAAGUACAGUCAGUUGUCAAUAAUUAUGGCAAAAAGCAUACUUACUACCAAUGGCAUCCCAAAGCAUUGCAUAUGGUGAAAGUUUCUUCCAUUCUGUGAAUUCUGUAUUUGUUCUUCAGCAUCUUCAAGACAUUUCGACAACCAACGGUCAGUUUGUCGCAUUUGAAUGCCGAGUCCGGGCAACAACCACAGUUCAAAUUCACUGGUACAGAGAGAAAGAGCAGAUAGCAGACUCUGAGGACUUCCAGAUUCUGAGGAGAAAAGCUUCUUUAUCAUCCGUUCCCGGUAAGCACAAUUUUUCAACAUCUUUAUUUUUAAGAUUUUAUUUAUUUAUUUGAGAGAGAGAGAGAGCUCAAGCAGGGGAAGGGGGACAGAGGGAGAAGCAGACUCCCCAAUGAGCAGGGAACCCAAAGCAGGGCUCGAUCCCACAACCCUGAGAUCAUGACCUGAGCCGAAGGCAGAUGCUUAACUGACUAAGCCACCCAGGCACCCCCAAUUUUUCAACAUCUUGAUAAUAAAUGAUUAAAUCAAGAUUACCUUCAGAAGACUGUCUCCUAAAUCACUUUUGCCAUCAUGAGCAGUUUUGAGGCUACCCUGUAACAACUCGAGCUGACAGAACAAAAGCAGCAAGAUAACUGGGAUUUGUCAGUGUGUUUAUUCACCUAUUCAUUCACACAACAUAGUACAGACAAUGGCCACGUUCCAUUGUGGGCACUGAGGAGGUCCCUGCCCUCGCAGAGCAUGCAUCCACCCUCUGAUCUAUGACUCAUGAGCUCUACAGAGAGGCAGUAAGGAGGUGUGCUGACAUCAAACAACCAAGUUGUUGACUGUCCAAGAAGUAGGUAUAGUGCCCAUCAUAAUGUGGCUAUCACUGCACUAUCGAACUAUCCUGGCAAUAAUAACUUUUAGGUCAGCUCAGAAUAUCUGCCUACAGGAACCUGAUGCUAAGCACUAAAGCUAAAGAAAUCUAGAAGUCAAGGAAUAAAGUGUAAUCCCUGCUUUCAAGGAACUCACAGUAUAGUAAAGAGAUGUGUCAAAGAGACAGGUGAUAGGGACUCUGUUGGGAUUAUUUUAGGUUGCAUUUUUUAUUUUUCAGGAGCCCACUCAAAGACAAAAAGUCUAAUCCAAUGGAUUUUUUAAAAAAUUUCAGAAAUACUCUUUAUUCCUAAUACCUACUUUCCCUGACAUCCUCCCACACUAUUUGUUAAUUUGGGAUCUCCCAAAACUCUGGUCAAGUUGAAUCUCUUGCUUUUCCAGAGGAAGUCUGCACCUUGAUUAUCACAGAAGCAUUUCCUGAAGACUCUGGGGAAUUCAAGUGCAUUGCAGAAAAUGAGGCUGGGACUGCAGUCUCCACAGCAAGACUCUUUGUUUCCCCAGGUAAUUCUUUUCAGGAUCUCCCUGCUCCAAUUCAGCCAAGAGGAGGGGGAAGAUUCUGCUUCUAUCUCAGGUGGUGAAUAAUUAUAUUUUUCAGGAGGAAAAGAAGUAGAGAAAUCAGAGAGUUCUCCAAAGUUACCCAUGAGUAAACUUUCUCCAAAACUGGCCACCUUUCCCUGGAGCAGUGAUAGCCACACAAAGGACAAAAAUCCAGAUGACACCCCAAUGAACGUUAUUUCAACUAUUCCCGAACCAGCCCAUCACAAUGAACAUGAGAUCCAGGUUCCAAAGGAAGAUUUCUGCAAUGAAAAUUCCUCUGAGCUACAACCACAAUGGUAAGGGCAGACAGACUUAACACUUGCUCGUUCAACAAAUGUUCUUGGUCCUGCACACAGAACAGUGAACAUGACAAAGUUCCUGCCCUUAGGGAACUUGCAUUCUGAGGUGAGUCACUUAAUUCUGUCACUUCUCCCUUGCCCUCCAUCAUAUCUUUCACCAGAGCUGAAACAGGAAACCAAGCACUUAGAUCCACAUCUAAAGGUUUGUUAGAGACAUUGAAAAAAAAAAUCCACAAUGCUGAAAUGGCACAAGAUUUUGAAGAAGUAGAAUCUUUUCCACAAAAGAAUUCAGGGUCCUAUCUCAAUGUAAAUACAAAAAACAUUGUGAUACAGGUUUCUUCUUGUUGUCUUAGAAUACAGACAAAAUUGUCCUUGCAUUUAGAAGGCAAGUGUAUAAAUGGAAAGAUAGCUCAUUAGGUGAAUUUGCCAACCAGGCUAUAUUCAAAACAAAAUCUGCCAUCAUCCCCCAGCCCCCAAACACAAACCUCAAACCAAAAUAGUCACAGGGGUGGGGGGAAACUAAAAACUGAUACUAAGAGUCAUUUAAAUUUUUUUUAUUUUACUAAUAUCUAACAGAGUCCACUAAAUAUUUUACAAAUCUGAAGUUACCUUUAGGUUAAAUUUUGGUUAAACACCUUUAAUAAAACUUAAUAAAUGAACAUUCUUGACUAUUUUCUAGUUUAACUAAAUGUAGCCUCUGUUAAUUACAAAAUAAAAGAUAUUGAAAUCUCUUUUAAGAAGAGAUUUCUUGAGUAGUAUUUGGGUCUAUCAAGUGAAUAAAUUUAUCUUAGAGAUGGAAGGAAUCAGAGGUCACCUACAUGAAGUUCCUCAUUCUACAAAUGACUGAAAUUGUAGAUGACUAACCAAUAUUGUUGAGGGCUGCUUCCUCAUGCUUCUAUGACCCUGGGAUAAGUACUUCUCCAAGAGUUUCUUACAAUGAAGACAGUGAAGGAAAGAGUUUGAACUUGGAUAUUAACAGACCUGGAACAACAUAUGUCAAGUACAUAAUAGGAAUUCAUAAUAGUGGCUAUUACUUCACUGCACUGUUUUUUCUUUUUUUUUAAGAUUUUAUUUAUUUAUUUGAGAGACAGAAUGAGAGAGAGAGAGAGAGCAUGAGAGGGGGUUGGGUCAGAGGGAGAAGCAGACUCCCUGCUGAGCAGGGAGCCCGACGGGACUCGAUCCCGGGACUCCAGGAUCAUGACCUGAGCCAAAGGCAGUCGCUUAAUCAACUGAGCCACCCAGGCGCCCUGCACUGUUUUUUCUUAGGAUCAAUGUAUCUUCAAUAACAGUCUAUAACUAUAAUUUCUCAGUUAGUCUUCUGGAACCCCUUUAGCUUCUGGGAUCUCUAGUUACCUGGAUAUAGCUACACUUAUAAAGAUUUCUCAUGAGGUCAAAGAAUGGGUGCGUGGGACAAAAGACAGCAAUUUAUUCAACAAGCAUUUAUUAAGCACAUCCUAUGUGUUUAUGUCAGUUUCUGUGGAAGACUCCCCUGGGGAGACUGCCAAUACAGAUAUCUAAAACUUUUCUCCAUGAGUACCUGUGUUUAGCAGUGAGCCUUUAAGACUUAAAAAGGCACUGAAUUUAUAAUACAAUAUCUUUCACAGGAGAUUACCAUCUUUUUCAUUUAAAAAAUCAUCUUUGAGAAAAAUUUUCAAUGAAAGUUCCAUAAAAGUUAACAAGUUUUUACUGAAUGUCAACUAUAAGCCACAAUGUCCCAAAGAUAAAAAAUAAACAGUCCCUCCCUCAGAAAACAUUUAACUUGGUUGAGGAGACAAAUGACACCAUGUAAGAGUCCAUCAUAUGAUUUCCUCUGAUUAAGUUAGUAAAACAGAUACUAUCUUCAUUUUUCAGUUAAUUAUUAAAGCUCAGAGAGAUUAAGCAACUUGUCUAAGGUUACACAGCAAGUAUAUGGCAGAGUGGGCACUCACACUCAGGUCUCCAAAACAGAUAAGAAGGUUAAUGUUGUCUACAAAGCUGUAGAACAUUAACCAAAUUAAUGUUAUCAUUUUUACUGUUUGACUCCAAACCUAGUGGAAUGUCCAUUAUUACUACUCUCUUGAAAAGAAUAUAAGACCAAAUUAAGCACUCAAAAGGAGAUUUCAAAUUACAAGUGCUACAGUGGGACAAAACUUCAGUAAUCAUUGUGAAUUAUGCAUAACCUGAAAAUAAAUGAAAUGUUCUUCACUCGUUAGUCCUUCCAUCCUUGAUGUGGCAUUUGCCUUCUCAGUUGAUACAGCAGAAAUUGGCUUCAUCACAUAUAUCUGACAUCAGGUUUUAGACAAAGCUCACAGCACCAUUUUACAACAGUAUAUGUAGUUUACAUUUUUAAAAAAUACAACAAGAGCUAUAAAUGAAGAAAGGAUGAAUGAGUGACAGCUAAAUAGCCAAGCCGCCCUUCCACUGACGAUAGGACAAGAAAGAAUUCCCCUAGCGUGCAGCAGGAAAUGGUUCAGUGACAUAGUGGGAAGUUACCCACAUACUGUGAGGCACUAGAAUGAUUCACCAGAGGCCCUUACUGAUUUUAGAGAAAUAAAUGGAAAAGGCUGUCUUUGCGGACAGGUUGGAAUAUAAUUCACUCACCUGCCAUCUUAUGGAUUCUUCCAGUUUUAGGAAAAUUUUUUUCAAAUAAGCAACUAAACCAUUUGAAUAGUCGUAUGUGUGAGGAAACAAAAAACAUCAUUCAAAAAAGCAAACCAAACAUUAAAAAAAGUAGAAAAAUAGAUUCAUAAUAUAUUAUUAAAUAUAGACUAUUAACUUCUGACAAUGGGGCCAUGAAGGAAGACCUUCCUUUCCUUUCCGAAAUCAGCCGU